rnacentral:ncRNA from 1 species
UGUAAACUUGUACUCUAAUUGAUGUCGUCCUCAAGUGUUUAUUAUUAAUUUACUUUUAGUUUUUGGGUAAAAUUAGAGAUUUUGUUAAUUGUUAUUUGAGGGCAAAAAAUUUAGUGAGCAAGCCAGAUUAGUACCUGGUUAGAUAAAAGUUAAAAGAGCAGGAGUAAGGUUAUAUUUAAACUAAAAGAAUAUUGGCAGGUUUUUAAAUUAUCUUUGGAGGUUGAAUAGUAAUUGAGAGCCCUCAUUAUCUACUUUUAUUUUAGGCGCAUGUAUGAUCGCUUAUUUUAUUCUUGAGGAUUGUAAUUUUAGUUUAUAACUGUAAAAAUAGAUAUAUACUUGGUCUAUAUUUAAGUUUAUUUUGACCUACAAUAUUAUAUUUUUUGGAUAAUAUUUGUAGUAAAUAUUUGAAAUUGUAAAAGACAGUAAAAUCUUCUUAAUGUAGAUUUGAAGUUUAUUUAAAAACGGUACAAAUCAUCCAUCAAUUGCCCAUAGG